UACGGAGGAGGCAAGCGUUAUCCGGAAUUAUUGGGCGUAAAGCGUCCGCAGGUGGCACCUCAAGUCUGCUGUCAAAGCCCGGGGCUUAACCCCAGAAAGGCAGUGGAAACUGAAGUGCUAGAGUGCAGUAGGGGUAGAGGGAAUUCCCGGUGUAGCGGUGAAAUGCGUAGAGAUCGGGAAGAACAUCGGUGGCGAAAGCGCUCUGCUGGACUGCAACUGACACUCAGGGACGAAAGCUAGGGGAGCGAAUGGG
rnacentral:rRNA from 1 species